AAAAAGACAGCGAAAAUGACCAGCCAAAAUAAAGAUUAAAGAGACAAAAAAAUGCGUAUAUCUUGGUGUAGAUGAUUUAUCCUCAAUUUCUUAUAAUUAAACAAAAAAUAUUAUUAAAUUUUGGAAUUUACCUGUAACUCUAAACUCUUUACAGAAGUUCAAUGUUUGCUCUGAGAAGUUGGAUUAACAAAAUUUAUUAAAUGUGCAAUUUGUAUCUUAAACAUUAACGAGAAUUGUUUUGUGUUAGUGCCAGAAAUUAAAUGCACACCUGCAAAUUUCAUAAUUCAUAAAAAUAUUAUGAAUCCAUUUGCAAAUAAAGUUGUAUCCUUAAAAGAUAUGCUGGUUUUAUUGGCAUAAUGGGCAAGCAUUGAAGUGCAACUUGGUGAACUACAAAAUACAUCAAAUUCAGUUAUAAAAAUUUGAGUAACAAAGGUAUGCUAAUUAUUGUAUUGCCUGAACGAGUAUCAUUGCAGUUAAAAGAAGUGAAGAAUUCAAGGACUCUGGAAAAAAAAGACAAGAAAAUACUUAAGUAAAUGGUCAAUUAUUUGGCACAAAUUGGAGUUAAAGACGAAGGAGAUUGUAUAUGUUAUUUGCUAAGAAUAGUUUUUUAAAAUGGCCUAGCUGUAAAAUUAAACUAUGCAGGGAGAGGACAAAAAAUUGGAA